CCCAAACAUUAAAGAGAAGUGACUUUUGGUCUUUGGCCUUUGAUGAGUUAGAGGCAACGAUUGCUAAUCAGUGCUUUCAGCUCAUCGCUGCACUUGCAGCUUCACAGGGCAAAGAUGUGUUUGCUGUCAACAGUUAUGUGGUGGUCACGUGGUUGCCUCCAUAUAACAGUGAUCCUCGGCCAGCUUUACCUGAUGAUGCUGCAACCAAGGACUUCUUGUUACUUCCCUCAUUGGAGUCAGGGCACUGGAUUAUAUGUGUAAAUUUUUCC